rnacentral:rRNA from 1 species
GAGAGAGCACGUUAAGUGUGAUCUCGUACUUUUUGUAGAACGGACCGGCGAGUUACGUUAUGCAGCGAGGUUAAGGACUGAAGGUCCGGAGCCGAAGCGAAAGCGAGUCUGAAUAGGGCGCAUAGUUGCAUGACGUAGACCCGAAACCGGGUGACCUAUCCAUGGGCAGGUUGAAGUGGAAGUAAAAUUUCAUGGAGGACCGAACCAGACGUCUGUUGAAAAAGGCGGGGAUGACCUGUGGAUAGCGGAGAAAUUCCAAUCGAACCCGGAGAUAGCUGGUUCUCCUCGAAAUAGCUUUAGGGCUAGCCUCGCAUUAGUUUACCGGAGGUAGAGCACUGAAUGGUCUAGGGGGCCUCACCGCCUACCGAAACCUAUCAAACUGCGAAUGCCGGAUAAAUGAUGUGCGGGAGUCAGGCCGCGAGAGAUAAGUUCCGCGGUCAAAAGGGGAACACCCCAGAUCGUCUGCUAAGGUCCCCAAGUACGCGUUAAGUGGGAAAGGAUGUUGGAUUGCACAGACAACCAGGAUGUUGGCUUAGAAGCAGCCACACAUUCAAAGAGUGCGUAAUAGCUCACUGGUCGAGUGAUCCAGCGCCGAAAAUGUAACGGGGCUAAAACGCGACACCGAAGCAGCGGGAUGCGUAAGCAUCGGUAGAGGAGCAUUGUGUGAGGGUUGAAGCCAGAGCGAGAGCACUGGUGGACUUCACAGAAGAGAGAAUGCCGGUAUGAGUAGCGAGACCCAUGCGAGAAACAUGGGCGUCGAAGGCCCAAGGUUUCCUGGGGAAGGUUCAUCCACCCAGGGUAAGUCGGGACCUAAGCCGAGGACUGAGGUCGUAGGCGAUGGACAGCAGGUAGAGAUUCCUGCACCACUACUACUUGUUUGACGAAGCAGUGACACAGAAGGAUAGGACGAGCGCGGUGAUGGUCAACCGCGUAGGCGGCACGAGGCCGGGAAGCAGUGAAGUACACUUCCCGCAAAGGCUGAGUGUUGACAGGACCGAAAAGAAGUAGGGAAGCGUCCGAGUUCACGCUGGCGAGAAAAGCUGCUAAGGAGAGUGUGAGUGCCCGUACCGGAAACCGACGCAGGUGGGCGAGGAGAGAAUCCUGAGACGGACGGGAGAACUCUUGUUAAGGAACUCGGCAAAAUGACCCCGUAACUUCGGGAGAAGGGGUGCCUCGAAAGAGGCCGCAGAGAAUAGUCACAAGCGACUGUUUAGCAAAAACACAGGUAUCUGCGAAAGCGAGAGCUGACGUAUAGGUGCUGACGCCUGCCCGGUGCUGGAAGGUUAAGGGGAAGUGUUAGGGGAAACCCGAAGCAGAGAACCGAAGCCCCAGUAAACGGCGGCCGUAACUAUAACGGGCCUAAGGUAGCGAAAUUCCUUGUCGGGUAAGUUCCGACCCGCACGAAUGGCGUAACGACUUGUGAGCUGUCUCAACAGGAGGCCCGGUGAAAUUGAAGUAUGUGUGAAGAUGCACAUUACCCGCGACUGGACGGAAAGACCCCGUAGAGCUUUACUGUAACCUGACAUUGGAUCUUGAUAACGGAUGCACAGGAUAGGUGGGACGCUGGGAGACGAGGACUUUGGUUUUCGUGGAGCGGCCGUUGGGAUACCACUCUUCUGUUAUUGAGAUUCUAACCUCAAGCCGUGAGCCGGAUGAGAGACAGUGUCAGGCGGACAGUUUGACUGGGGCGGUCGCCUCCGAAAGAGUAACGGAGGCGCCCAAAGGUACCCUCAGAAUGGAUGGAAACCAUUCGAAGAGAGCAAAGUCAGAAGGGUGCUUGACUGCGAGACCAACAAGUCGAGCAGGUACGAAAGUAGGGCUUAGUGAUCCGG